AUUGAACGCUGGCGGCAGGCUUAACACAUGCAAGUCGAGCGGUAACAGAGAGAAGCUUGCUUCUCUGCUGACGAGCGGCGGACGGGUGAGUAAUGCCUAGGAAUCUGCCUAGUAGUGGGGGAUAACUUGCCGAAAGGUAAGCUAAUACCGCAUACGCCCUACGGGAGAAAGGAGGGGACCUUCGGGCCUUUCGCUAUUAGAUGAGCCUAGGUCGGAUUAGUUAGUUGGUGAGGUAAUGGCUCACCAAGACCGCGAUCCGUAACUGGUCUGAGAGGAUGAUCAGUCACACUGGAACUGAGACACGGUCCAGACUCCUACGGGAGGCAGCAGUGGGGAAUAUUGGACAAUGGGGGGGAACCCUGAUCCAGCCAUGCCGCGUGUGUGAAGAAGGUCUUAGGAUUGUAAAGCACUUUAAGUUGGGAGGAAGAGCAGUUAACUAAUAUUUGACUGUUUUGACGUUACCGACAGAAUAAGCACCGGCUAACUUCGUG
rnacentral:rRNA from 1 species